rnacentral:rRNA from 1 species
GCAAGUCGAGGGGGAACAGUAGGUGCUUGCACUUCGCUGACGACCGGCGCACGGGUGCGUAACGCGUAGACAAUCUACCUUUUGCUGAGGGAUAUCCCAGAGAAAUUUGGCUUAAUACCUCAUGUUAUGUAGUAAUAGCAUCAUUAUUAUAUUAAAGGUUACGGCAAAAGAUGAGUAUGCGUUCUAUUAGCUAGAUGGUAAGGUAACGGCUUACCAUGGCGACGAUAGAUAGGGGCCCUGAGAGGGGGAUC